rnacentral:sRNA from 1 species
AACUAGCCCUGAUGGCAGCGAAAAUCCUUUUCCUUUUUUCUUUAAAAAGCAAAAGAUUGUAGUGUACAGCAGGAACUUUA